rnacentral:rRNA from 1 species
AACGAACGCUGGCGGCAGGCCUAACACAUGCAAGUCGAGCGCCCCGCAAGGGGCGCGGCGGCCGGGUGAGUACCGCGUGGGAAUAUGCCCUUUGCUACGGAAUAGUCUCGGGAAACUGGGGGUAAUACCGUAUACGCCCUUUGGGGGAAAGAUUUAUCGGCGAAGGAUUAGCCCGCGUUGGAUUAGGUAGUUGGUGGGGUAAUGGCCUACCAAGCCGACGAUCCAUAGCUGGUUUGAGAGGAUGAUCAGCCACACUGGGACUGAGACACGGCCCAGACUCCUACGGGAGGCAGCAGUGGGGAAUCUUAGACAAUGGGGGCAACCCUGAUCUAGCCAUGCCGCGUGAGUGAUGAAGGCCUUAGGGUUGUAAAGCUCUUUCAGCUGGGAAGAUAAUGACGGUACCAGCAGAAGAAGCCCCGGCUAACUCCGUG